rnacentral:ncRNA from 2 species
AAAUCGGCAAUGACAGGAUUUAGUAAUGCUUCGUUUUUUUGUAUCAGAGAGCUGAUGGUCGGUGCAAAUCAGUACAGAGCGAUUCAUGAAAUACACCCUCGAGCUUCUUUUGUGAACCUUUUUAGUAGCAAAAGACGGAUUCUCCGUUAUCUUAAUGAAGUAGUGAAAACAAAACUGUUUUCACAAGUUAGGGUGGUACCGCGACACGUUCGCCCCUGCA